GGCGAUGUAGCAUACCUAUAAUGCGUUUCAUUUACAUUGAAGAAGAUCUUACUAAAGCAUUGCUU
rnacentral:tRNA from 1 species